rnacentral:rRNA from 1 species
UACGAAGGGUGCAAGCGUUACUCGGAAUUACUGGGCGUAAAGCGUGCGUAGGUGGUGAGUUAAGUCUGUCGUGAAAGCCCCGGGCUCAACCUGGGAAUGGCGAUGGAUACUGGGAGGCUAGAGUGUGAUAGAGGAUGGUGGAAUUCCCGGUGUAGCGGUGAAAUGCGUAGAUAUCUGGAGGAACACCGGUGGCGAAGGCGGCAUCCUGGACCGGUAUUGACGCUGAGGCGCGAAAGCCAGGGGAGCAAACGGG